rnacentral:rRNA from 1 species
CCUACGGGAGGCAGCAGUGGGGAAUAUUGCACAAUGGGGGAAACCCUGAUGCAGCGACGCCGCGUGAGUGAAGAAGUAUUUCGGUAUGUAAAGCUCUAUCAGCAGGGAAGAAAAUGACGGUACCUGAUUAAGAAGCCCCGGCUAACUACGUGCCAGCAGCCGCGGUAAUACGUAGGGGGCAAGCGUUAUCCGGAUUUACUGGGUGUAAAGGGGGCGUAGACGGCAGCACAAGUCUGGAGUGAAAUGCCGGGGCUUAACCCCGGAACUGCUUUGGAAACUGUGCAGCUAGAGUGCAGGAGAGGUAAGUGGAAUGCCUAGUGGAGCGGUGAAAUGCGUAGAUAUUAGGAGGAACACCAGUGGCGAAGGCGGCUUACUGGACUGUAACUGACGUUGAGGCUCGAAAGCGUGGGGAGCAAACAGGAUUAGAUACCCCUGUAGUC